GAUGAACGCUGGCGGCGUGCCUAAUACAUGCAAGUCGAGCGAACGGACGAUAAGCUUGCGUCGCUGAUGUUUGCGGAGGACGGGUGAGUAACACGUGUAUAACCCACCUAUCAGACUGGUAUAAUUUCGGGAAACCGGAGCAUAUACCGGAUAAUCUUCUGCACCGCAGGGUGGAAAAGUGAAAGACGGCGGUGCUGUCACGUAUAGAUGGAUCCCCGCUGCAUUAGCGAGUUGGUAAGGUAACGGCUUACCAAGGCAACGAUGGAUAGCCGACGUGAGGGGGUGAUCGGCCACACUGGAACGGAGACACGGUCCAGGCUCCUGCGAGAGGCAGCAGUAGGGAAUCUUCCGCAAUGGGCGAAAACCUGGCGGAGCAACGCCGCGUGAGUGAUGAAGGUCUUCGGAUCGUAAAACUCUGUUAUUAGGGAAAAACAUAUGUGUAAGUAACUGUGCACAUCUUGACGGUACCUAAUCAAAAAGCCACGGCUAACUACGUG
rnacentral:rRNA from 1 species